rnacentral:rRNA from 1 species
CCUACGGGCGGCUGCAGUGGGGAAUAUUGGACAAUGGGCGAAAGCCUGAUCCAGCCAUGCCGCGUGUGUGAAGAAGGCCUUCGGGUUGUAAAGCACUUUCAGUGGGGAAGAAAGCCUAGGGGCUAAUACCCUCGAGGAAGGACAUCACCCACAGAAGAAGCACCGGCUAACUCCGUGCCAGCAGCCGCGGUAAUACGGAGGGUGCGAGCGUUAAUCGGAAUUACUGGGCGUAAAGCGCGCGUAGGCGGUCUGAUAAGCCGGUUGUGAAAGCCCCGGGCUCAACCUGGGAACGGCAUCCGGAACUGUCAGGCUAGAGUGCAGGAGAGGAAGGUAGAAUUCCCGGUGUAGCGGUGAAAUGCGUAGAGAUCGGGAGGAAUACCAGUGGCGAAGGCGGCCUUCUGGACUGACACUGACGCUGAGGUGCGAAAGCGUGGGUAGCAAACAGGAUUAGAUACCCCUGUAGUC